rnacentral:rRNA from 2 species
CGGGACACGUGGUAUCCUGUCUGAAUAUGGGGGGACCAUCCUCCAAGGCUAAAUACUCCUGACUGACCGAUAGUGAACCAGUACCGUGAGGGAAAGGCGAAAAGAACCCCGGCGAGGGGAGUGAAAAAGAACCUGAAACCGUGUACGUACAAGCAGUGGGAGCCUCUUUAUGGGGUGACUGCGUACCUUUUGUAUAAUGGGUCAGCGACUUAUAUUCUGUAGCAAGGUUAACCGAAUAGGGGAGCCGAAGGGAAACCGAGUCUUAACUGGGCGUUAAGUUGCAGGGUAUAGACCCGAAACCCGGUGAUCUAGCCAUGGGCAGGUUGAAGGUUGGGUAACACUAACUGGAGGACCGAACCGACUAAUGUUGAAAAAUUAGCGGAUGACUUGUGGCUGGGGGUGAAAGGCCAAUCAAACCGGGAGAUAGCUGGUUCUCCCCGAAAGCUAUUUAGGUAGCGCCUCGUGAAUUCAUCUCCGGGGGUAGAGCACUGUUUCGGCAAGGGGGUCAUCCCGACUUACCAACCCGAUGCAAACUGCGAAUACCGGAGAAUGUUAUCACGGGAGACACACGGCGGGUGCUAACGUCCGUCGUGAAGAGGGAAACAACCCAGACCGCCAGCUAAGGUCCCAAAGUCAUGGUUAAGUGGGAAACGAUGUGGGAAGGCCCAGACAGCCAGGAUGUUGGCUUAGAAGCAGCCAUCAUUUAAAGAAAGCGUAAUAGCUCACUGGUCGAGUCGGCCUGCGCGGAAGAUGUAACGGGGCUAAACCAUGCACCGAAGCUGCGGCAGCGACACUAUGUGUUGUUGGGUAGGGGAGCGU